rnacentral:rRNA from 1 species
GACGUAGGGCGCGAGCGUUGUCCGGAUUUAUUGGGCGUAAAGAGCUCGUAGGCGGCUUGUCGCGUCGUCCGUGAAAACCUGGGGCUCAACUCCAGGCUUGCGGUCGAUACGGGCAGGCUAGAGUUCGGUAGGGGAGACUGGAAUUCCUGGUGUAGCGGUGAAAUACGCAGAUAUCAGGAGGAACACCUGUGGUGUAGACGGCUCUCUGGACCGCAACUGA